rnacentral:lncRNA from 1 species
AACUCCCCACCUCAAGUGAUCCACCCACCUUGGCCUCCCAAAGUCCUGGGAUUACAGGUGUGAGCCACUGCCCCUGGACCACAGGUCCUUGAAGUGUUUUCACAUAGAUAUUUCACAAGAGCCAUUUCAGAACUGAGAACAUUCGGCGUGCACUCUUCCUCUUUUGGUCCCAGUUUUUAUGUGUCCUACUUGAAAUUAUGUUUGCUCCCGUUUCAAUUGUAAUAUUGCACUUACUCAUUAGUUUUUAGUUUGAACUCUCCUGCGAGGUCUAAUGUAGAGUUUGGACAAGAACACAGAUUCAUAAUAAACCUACCCAGUCAAUUUGGUAUAAAGGCUUAGAAGGUGGAACUGGCCACAUUUUGAAUUGGAGGUAAGGAUCAGGAAUGGUAAUGGAGAGACAUAGGAUUUUCUUAUGGGAACAAGAAACAAAUAACCUCUGGGCAGUAUUAGAGCCCAGAGAGUGAUAAGCCUCUUCUAACUUCAAUAUUCUAUGUACAAAUUCACAAGACUUUUUCUUUCUUUCUUUCUUUUGAGACGGAGUCUCACUCUGUAGCCCAGGCUGGAGUGCAAUGGCGCGAUCUUGGCUCACUGCAAUCUCCCCCUCCCGGGUUCACGCCAUUCUCCUGCCUCUGCCUCGCGAGUAGCUGGAACUACUGGCGCCCGCCACCACAUCCAGCUAAUUUUUUUGUAUUUUUAGUGAAGACUGGGUUUCACCGUGUUAGCCAGGAUGGUCUGGAUCUCCUGACCUUGGGAUCCGCCCGCCUCGGCCUCCGAAAGUGCUGGGAUUACAGGCGUGAGCCACCGUGCCUGGCCGAGACUUUUAAUUAUGCAAUGCCAGACUGCAUUGCAUAAACCAAAGGCCAACAGAGAGGUGACUUUUCACAUUACUGGCACAAGAAGAGCCGAGAUCAGAAAGCUCCAACUUAAUGCAAACAUAGACAAGAAAUCCGACAGAAAUGACUUCUGUGUCUGGUCAACUUAACAUAACAUGACAUAUUGUCAAGCGCAUUUGGCUUUUUAGGUAGAAUUGUCUAUAAAGGUUUAACUGCUUUAGAAAAUAUAAAUGUGAAGAUUUGUGGUAUUUGGGUUUAUAUAUAAGAUAUUUCUACAUUGAAAAGAGAGUGGAAAAGCUUGGUAUAAGAUUUGUAAAAUAUGUUUGUAAUAAUGCUAAUGGAAGAGGUGAGAGUUGGGUGGGGUGGGGUGUGGAUGGGAACAUGGUUUGGGGAUUGGGGAAAGGGAAGUCAUGCUGUUAAUAAAAUAGUGAGGCAUGUUGUAUAAAGUGUUUUAUGUCUCAAUUGAAAUGUUA